rnacentral:rRNA from 1 species
UACGUAGGGUGCAAGCGUUAAUCGGAAUUACUGGGCGUAAAGCGCUUUAAGGCGGUUCGCUAAGUCGGGUGUGAAACCUCCAGGCUCAACCUGGAGACGCCACUCGAUACUGGCGUGACUAGAGUCCGGUAGGGGACCACGGAAUUCCUGGGUGUAGCGGUAGAAAUGCGCAGAUAUCAGGAGGAACACCAGUGGCGAAGGCGGUGGUCUGGGCCGGAACUGACGCUGUAGAGCGAAAGCGUGGGGAGCGAACAGG